ensembl:lncRNA
AGAGCGGGGAGCUUUCGCUCUGAAAAAGCAAAUGAGAAGAAACAGCAGAAAGAACACAGCCUGCAUGAGGGCUGCAGCCAUGGGGUCGGUUUGACACGAAGGGCUGCAGCAUCCUUAGCACUGCAAUAUGGGGAUGCUGAGUCCUGGAAGCCAAACUGUGCACCCUGCAUCCCUCUUGGGAUCCCCAUUGGGGCAGCUUUGGGAGGACUGAGUCUGCAGCACCGGGCUCUGCCAUGAGCUUUGUGGGAGGAGAAGGGAAAACAAUGGUUUUCCCAACGGGAUGCUUUAAGGAAGCCUCGGGAACCCCUCCCUACACCAGGAAGGGCCGGGACCUCCUCAUUCCCUUCACUUUUCCUUCUUCCGUGUUUGUGCUCCAAUAUUCAUGGGGUUGAAAUCGUUUUCUCCCGGCCGUUCGCGCAGCUGAAACUUUUACAUUCCUCUGCAAUAGGUUACACAUAAAAGCAAACCCUCAAGAGGUGAGUGGGAGAACAUCCAGCUCUGCAGACCAGUGGGGCUGCCCACAUCCCGAUGGGUUUUCCUCCUUUUGCUCCUGGAUUCAGCCCCUGUGCAGCUUUCCCUGUCUGGCAUAUGGGGAGGAGGAGGGAGGCAAUGCUGCCAAGCUCCAGCUGUUGCGGUGACCUCAGCCUUGCAACCUGGUGGUAGGGAAAAGGUCCAAGGUCCAAAGCUCAGCAAGGAGCAGUGCUCAGAUGGCUGGAAAAAUAAUCCCAUCGAGGGUUGUUCCAGGGCUAAUUGUUGCUAUGGGUAUUGCCAAUGAGUGGGGAAACCCAUUUUGUGACAACAGGUGGAAAAACACCACUGGGUUGAGUUGAAUUGAGAGGUUGGGAUCAUUGGGAUGAGAAGUUGGAGUUUUGGGGUUGAUAAGUUGGGGUUUGGGGGUUGAGAAGUUGGGUUUGUUGGGUUGAGAAGUUAGGAUCAGUGGGUUGAGGAAUUGGGUUUGCUGGGUUAAGAAGUUGAGGUUUUUGGGUUGAGAAGUCGGGUUUUUUGGUUUAAGAAGUUGGAUUCGUUGGGUUGAGAAGUUGUGUUUGUUGGGUUGAGGAGCUGGG